rnacentral:rRNA from 1 species
AUAUGCUUGUCUCAAAGAUUAAGCCAUGCAUGUCUCAGUGCAUGCCGAAUUAAGGUGAAACCGCGAAUGGCUCAUUAAAUCAGUUAUGGUUCCUUAGAUCGUACCCACAUUUACUUGGAUAACUGUGGUAAUUCUAGAGCUAAUACAUGCAAACCAGAGUUCCGACCAGAGAUGGAAGGAACGCUUUUAUUAGAUCAAAACCAAUCGGUGGCGGGUUCGCUCGUCCAUCGUUUACCUUGGUGACUCUGAAUAACUUUGUGCUGAUCGCACGGUCUCGCACCGGCGACGCAUCUUUCAAAUGUCUGCCUUAUCAACUGUCGAUGGUAGGUUCUGCGCCUACCAUGGUUGUAACGGGUAACGGGGAAUCAGGGUUCGAUUCCGGAGAGGGAGCCUGAGAAACGGCUACCACAUCCAAGGAAGGCAGCAGGCGCGCAAAUUACCCACUCCCGGCACGGGGAGGUAGUGACGAAAAAUUCAUCGCUCGCGAUGUUUAACUGACAUGAUUGUGGGACGUCCUACCGGUGGACUUAGCCUUUCGGGGCGGUCCAACUUGAAUCCCAUCGCGGUGCUCUUAAUCGAGUGUCGAGGUGGGCCGGUACGUUUACUUUGAACAAAUUAGAGUGCUCAAAGCAGGCUAUGUUCGCCUGAAUACUGUGUGCAUGGAAUAAUGGAAUAGGACCUCGGUUCUAU